rnacentral:rRNA from 1 species
GGAUGUGAAAGCCCCGGCGUCAACCGGGGACGGGUCAUUGGAAACUGGGGAACUUGAGUGCAGAAGAGGAGAGUGGAAUUCCACGUGUAGCGGUGAAAUGCGUAGAGAUGUGGAGGCACACCAGUGGCGAAGGCGACUCUCUGGUCUGUAACUGACGCUGAGGAGCGAAAGCGUGGGGAGCGAACAGGAUUAGAUACCCUGGUAGUCCACGCCGUAAACGAUGAGUGCUAAGUGUUAGGGGGUUUCCGCCCCUUAGUGCUGCAGCUAACGCAUUAAGCACUCCGCCUGGGGAGUACGGUCGCAAGACUGAAACUCAAAGGAAUUGACGGGGGCCCGCACAAGCGGUGGAGCAUGAGUGGUUUAAUUCGAAGCAACGCGAAGAACCGUUACCAGGUCUUGACAUCCUCUGACAAUCCUAGAGAUAGGACGUCCCCUUGACGGGGGCAGAGUGACAGGUGGUGCAUGGUUGUGCGUCAGCUCGUGUCGUGAGAUGUUGGGUUAAGUCCCGCAACGAGCGCAACCCUUGAUCUUAGUUGCCAGCAUUCAGUUGGGCACGUCUAAGGUGACUGCCGGUGACAAACCGGAGGAAGGUGGUUGGAUGACGUCAAAUCAUCAUGCCCCUUAUGACCUGGGCUACACACGUGCUACAAUGGACAGAACAAAGGUGCAGCGAAACACGCGAGGUUAAGCCAAUCCCACAAAUCUGUUCUCAGUUCGGAUCGCAGUCUGCAACUCGACUGCGUGAAGCUGGAAUCGCUAGUAAUCGCGGAUCAGCAUGCCGCGGUGAAUACGUUCCCGGGCCUUGUACACACCGCCCGUCACACCACGAGAGUUUGUAACACCCGAAGUCGGUGAGG